UACGAAGGGUCCAAGCGUUGUUCGGAAUCAUUGGGCGUAAAGCGCGCGCAGGCGGAUCAGCAAGUCAGAUGUGAAAUCUCGAAGCUCAACUUCGAAACUGCGUCUGAAACUGCUAGUCUAGAAUGUCGGAGGGGGCAGGGGAAUUUCACGUGUAGGGGUAAAAUCCGUAGAGAUGUGAAGGAACACCGGAGGCGAAGGCGCCUGCCUGGACGGCUAUUGACGCUGAGGCGCGAAAGCGUGGGGAGCAAACAGG
rnacentral:rRNA from 1 species